rnacentral:lncRNA from 1 species
CCUGGCUGAAGGAAAAUGACUGAUCUUUUCCCGUUUUGCUUUAGUCAGUCAACAAGCUUAGAUAAGAAUACAUUAAGGUGUUAUAAUGUGACCAAUAGACUAUUUUCGAAUGUAGAAAUUGAAAAUACCGAUGCUUCUUCUUCUGUAUACUUUUCUGACGCUUUUCUUAAAUACACAAUUGAAAGGGAGGAAUCAAUCAAUCUAUCUUGGUUUUGGUGUGACGGCAUAGAAGAGAUUGUCGAAAAUUUCUGCAGUGAAAAGACAUCCAAUAAAUCAAGAGAUCAAGUGGUGAAUCUUUUAAGACAAUGUGUACAAAAAUUUGUACUGGACG